UGGGGAAUAUUGCACAAUGGGCGAAAGCCUGAUGCAGCAACGCCGCGUGAGUGAUGAAGGCCUUCGGGUUGUAAAGCACUUUUGUCCGGAAAGAAAUCCUUGGCUCUAAUACAGUCGGGGGAUGACGGUACCGGAAGAAUAAGCACCGGCUAACUACGUGCCAGCAGCCGCGGUAAUACGUAGGGUGCAAGCGUUAAUCGGAAUUACUGGGCGUAAAGCGUGCGCAGGCGGUUUGCUAAGACCGAUGUGAAAUCCCCGGGCUCAACCUGGGAACUGCAUUGGUGACUGGCAGGCUAGAGUAUGGCAGAGGGGGGUAGAAUUCCACGUGUAGCAGUGAAAUGCGUAGAGAUGUGGAGGAAUACCGAUGGCGAAGGCAGCCCCCUGGGCCAAUACUGACGCUCAUGCACGAAAGCGUGGGGAGCAAACAGGAUUAGAUACCCCUGGUAGUCCACGCCCUAAACGAUGUCAACUAGUUGUUGGGGGAUUCAUUUUCCUUAGUAACGUAGCUAACGCGUGAAGUU
rnacentral:rRNA from 1 species